UAACUGUGAAGAUGAAGUUCCUAAUCCUCCUCCUUCUUGUCGGGCUCCUGGCGAUGGAGUCAGCUGUUCAAGGUCAAAAUUACUACCCACCAUACCAAAACAAUUGGCCUUAUCGUCCGUGGUGGGGUGG